AGUUGGAACUGUGUGAAUCCACUUAAAUGUGCAUUUUCUUCUUCUGCCUCUUCCACCCCUGAGAUAGCAAGACCAACUUCUUCCUCCUCCGCCUACUCGAUGUAAAGACUACGAGGAUGAAGACCUUUAUGAUGAUCCACUUCCACUUAAUAGAAGGACCGGAACAAAGGCCUGCCACGCCUUGGUAGCUGGGAUUAUAAACUUCAGAUGAAGGAGCCCACUGAGGAGAAAGCAGAUGCGGAUGUUCUAAUUGUCAAGGAAGGUGGCAUAGCAAGCCUGCCGCAGCUCAAUGGAAACUAAUGCUUUGCUUUGUCCUUCAUAGACCUAACUGGCUAUUUUCCUAUAAGUACUUGCUGUUAUUUUAUGUUUCAAUUCGAAGAUUUUUUUUCUGCCAGUAAGAAGCCAGAAUGUGCUUUAUCCUCCUGAGAGCAGGGGUCAGCAAAGUACUGCCAUCAAGCCAAGUCUAUGGGGACAAAUCUUGUUUGUAUAAAUAAAGUUUUAUUGGAACAUGGCCACAUGGUUCACGUGUAUUGUCUAUGGCUGCUGUCAUGCUACAAUGGCAGAGGUAAGAAGUUGUGAUGAAGACAGUAUGGCCUAAAAAGCUGAAAUGCAUACUAUAUGGCUCUUUACAGAAGUUUGCUGACUCCUGUCCUAGAGGAAUUUCUCUCACUGAAAUGCUUUUCUUUAAUGAAACAGAUUCUGAGCUUCUUGGAUGCAGGUCCUUGAUCUGUCUGUACUCACUGCCAUCUUCCAAGGAUGAACCCACAGUGUCUGGCUGGGAACAGGGCUCAUUACAUAUAUGCUGAAUUGGUGACUGAACGGGAGUGUGUCUGCCUCCCUGCCAGAGCUAGCCCUGCCACGGGACCCAGUGCUUACUUGUAGCUGCUGAAGCUUUGGUUCCAUCUUCACUGACUUCAAUUUUUGCUUUUUGCAAGAUGUGAGAAACAUGGAGGUUUUCUGACCCUGUUUCCAGAAAAUAAAACAAAAUCAGCAUUUGUUUGAUAUUCAAGUCAUCUUUUGGCUGGAGAAGUAACCU